rnacentral:lncRNA from 1 species
UUUCCUGGUAGAAUGGCAUAUCUUAAUACAGGAGGUAUAUUUUAAUUAAUUUAUUUAUUUUCCUGGUAAGCUAAAGCUGAAUAUGGUCAUUAUUUGUGACUUUCAGUAAAUAAUUUUCCAACCUAAUCAGUUUUGUGUAAGAAAGAAAAUAUAGAUUCAAUGUAUAUAAUAAUAUUAGUCUCAGAAAGAUUUUUCAUUACUAUCCAACAUGUUUAAAGGAAAAUAAGUACAUUGGCAUUAUUAUUAUUUUUUUAAUUUUGAAAUUGUAUGAAAUUGAUAAAUACAUGAAUAUUUAAACACAAGAAAAGGAAAACUGGGUCAUCAAUAAUCCAAUAAUCUACACCAAUAUAGGAGGAAGAUAGAAUGUCAAGAACUUUGUACUUAUCGAUAAUGUUAAACUAAUGAAGCAGUUUUAUGGGGGAUUAUCUCCAUUAUUAUUUUCUAGGAAAGCUGCUACUGUACAGUAAGACAGGACCAUCUGAAUGCAUCAUCAGCACUGCUCAUAAAGUCUCAAACCAUCUGUGAAUGAAGGUACUUACAUGAUGUAACUCUCCAAGAUACUGACACUCGCAUGACUGAACCGCCUGUUGAACUUCAUGGCAGUGGCUACUUCACUCAGGUCUUGGCAAACACAUCUGUCACAGCUGAGAUACAGCACACCUCUCAACUUUACCCGUGACACUUGUGAUGAUAACAACUCUCUGUGGUUACUAUAAACUGGUCUAACGAAGCUCUAAGAAUGGUCCUCUAUGUUCUUAUAGUUGCUACAAACAGGUAAAGUACUCUAAGAGAACUGUUAUCCCAUCAGUUAUACCCAAGUUUGAUCUACAUUCUGUCUCCUUUCCUUCCAGUGUGUUUAUUAAAACUUCCCU